ACCAGCCGCCGAAUUGCGCAAUCCCAUGAACAUGUCACAGGUGCCUCCAGUUCUAGUUCCCCCCGCCAAACCAGUUUGCGAUUCUAUUAUUGUAGCUGGAAGAUUCUCUAAAUAUAGUAGCGAUCCACUACCAUUGAGCCUCUUAAGUGCUGCGAUUAUACUUCACUCCAACCCAGUAAUAACUCUGCCUCUUCCGCCCACCAGUCAGUUAAUAAUAGAAAUCCGUAAUGUAAUAGAUGGCUGUGAGAACUUUCCGGCAGUGGCAGUCGGGCAGAUAUAAAUGUAUUGUUAUUGGCCGGUUUAUGGAUUAUUCCUCACAACAGUCGAAUCGCAAUCGCUGCGCACAAAUUAAAGAUCAAACAGAAAGGUGGGUCUUCCAUGCGCCAGUAGCCUGUCCAGCGGGUCGGGGAGGGAGAUUCCGAUCUGGCCAGCGAACGUGGUGCGCAAUUUGAUUCCCCCGAGAUGGGCCGCCAGUCGGCGCCUCGUCUGCUUCUCUGAUGGCUGGCUGCACCAUGCGGGAAAUCCGGCUGAAAGCAGUUUUCACCAAACUUAUCCAAAGUCAAGAGCAUGGCGCACACGAAGCUCACAGAUACGAGCAUACUGGCUGACGGCACUACAGUUGCAGUUCUGGGCGCAAGUCGAGCCAAGGGUGCCGCCAACUGAAUAUUGCAUUUGGAGCGGAAUGGGGGCAGGACUGGGGGGCUGGCACCACUACCGAGUAGAGCCGGGAAGGUCGUCGUCGAGCGUGGCACGCGGGUCGUAUGCGCAAUAAAUAUAUAUGGUAUAAUACUCCAGGCCUCUUCUCUGCUAAUUUCCAUCAAUUGCUCAGUAGGGUCUGCUCCAGGACCUUGACUAUAAUCAUCCGUAUACGGAUAGAAGCAGCUGCCAAUUAGCCCGGCCAAGGGGAAAUCAAUUGGCCAGCCAGAUAAUACUUUAAAUGCAGAAAACAAAAUAGCUGAUUGUUUUAAUUUUUGCUAAUUUAUUUAUAGACCCAUUACUGGCUCCCUGUGUAGAGGCACGCUUCUGCCUCCGAAACUACACAUGGCUCAUUAGAACCGGCUUUGUGCAAGCCACUGGGCCUUUGUUUGGCCAAUUAAUGGGAAAAAUGUGCAAAAAGGGGCUUGUCAUCGCGGCUAUUUCGGGUGAACCUCCCCCUCUCCACUGGGCGAACCUGUUGAUGACUCAGAGUCCGUUCCGCGGAGUCGCCUCCUAGACUUGGGUCUUGGAAUUCCAGUUCUAUCGCUCCCAGGAGCCAGUCGCCGUGCUCCACUGGCACUCCACAUUCCGCCCACUUCUCACAGCGCAAUUCCGUGCAAUUUUCUAAAAAUAGCUUAACCCAUUAAAGCCACUUAGAAUGCAAAGCCGACGCGCGGCGCACUCGUUUUGAAAAUUUGUGCAAGUAAAAGUUGUUUUCCGCUUUAUUGCCGCACAGACCCGGCACAGAGUUCAUUCAUCCAGUUCCCCGCUGUCCGUGUUCCGCCGGCAGGGGACUUCCGCAUGUGGACUGGACUGGACCACUGUCCGCAAGCGAAAGUGAAAUCCACUUCGGCUCUUGUUGUUGUCCAUUUAAUCAUUGCAAAUUUUAUGCAAUCUGCCUGUGCGGGUCUUUUUAUAGCCCAUAUGUGCCAUUUAUCAAAAAACAGAUCAUGUCAGCCAGGGCACUCUUUCAUAUGUAAUUCAAUUUGAUUAAGUGGGCAGAGCGUGCGCCAAAAGUGCAUUGACUCCGGACUCCGGCGGCUAUGUGUGUGGAAAAGCGGAAAAUUACACCGAUUUCAAUGGGAAUUGGAGAUUCUCUCCCUGCCCUCCCCAUACCAGUAAUAAAAAAAUCGUAGAAACUGCAGUUCUAGAGGGGAGUGGUCAGCUUGCAUCCUCAAAUAGCCAUCAAUAGUCUCCUAUUUUAUUUAAAAUUUAAAUUCAAUUUUAAAAGUUACUGGUAGCAGAUGUUAACAGUCAACUGUUAAGUACCACUGUUAAUGCUCUGUAAACGCAAACUAGGUGGCAGCGCCUGCGCCAUAUGCAACCUAGGUGGCAAGGCCGUCCCUACAGCUGUUUUCUGCAACUGCAUGUGUUAUUCCCAAAUUCUUUGAAUCGAACUCCAUUCCCUUUCUUAACUCCCAUAUAAAAAUGAGUGCACCCAGCUGCAAGCUGCUACUGAAGCAAAUGCCCUGCACCCUAGAGGAGCUGGCGCAGCUAAUCAGGGAGUGCCAGCUGAUAGUACCGCGGACCCUGAAUCCCUACGGCCGGAAAAGGACGAUCAUCGAGUACGGCGACCCGGAGGAGGCGCAAAGGGCGCUAAAGGAGCUGCUGGGACUCGGCGCGCAACUGGACAAGCCCCUGUGCGUGAGCUUCUUUGGGCCACGUGAGGGCGGUGCUGCUCCCAACAAGUCCACACAGACCAAGCCGGGAGCGAGUGACUCCCAGAAGCAGGAGGAGAUCGACAAGUACGUUCGGAAGUUGUAUGCCUGUAAUAAUGAGUGCGAUUUUACACAGCCGCCGCCGCCAUAUCUCAGCUAUAGCUAUCCCCCCAUCAAUGCCGACAUUGUUGCGGCGAUAAGUCAGCAUCUUCUGAGGAACAAAAGGUUCUACAACCAGGUGCUGCACCUCAUGAAUCGCAUGAACCUCGAGCCCCCCUUCCAGAAGCACUCCGCGGGGCUAAUAGCCCACAGCUAUGCCAAGGAAGUGGCCACUCAGACAGAGGACUUGGCCAGCGAUCCGGAGAGCGAGCUGGAAAGCGACGACGGGGCAGAGGACAGGCAGAUCAAGAGGCAGCGUCUGAUGCUGCCCGAAGCCAGCGAGGAACUGCGCCAGAAAACCUUCAAGAGGGCCCGUCAAAUGCUGCAGCAGGCCGUCAGCCAGUCGCAUCCGUCCUGCAGCGAGAAAAAGACUCCAGCCCCGGCACCCGCACUUUCUGCGCCACGAAUUCAACUGAAACUGCCAGAGUCACUAAAUCCAAGCAGAUUACAACCCGAGACGGAGAAACGCCUCUCUGUCAGCGAACUGCAAGAGCUGCCCGUAUACAAGAACUACAAAAUGGGGGAUCCCAGCAAUAAGCUGUACAUCAAAAACCUCGACAAGAGCGUGGACGAGCAGCAGCUGCGGCAGCUGUACUCCAAGUACACGCCGGCCGCGCAGUUGGACAUCAAAGUUAUGCAGCAGGGUCGGAUGAAGGGCCAGGCGUUUGUAACCUUCCUCGAGGGCUACCGGCCCGAGGGCAUAGCCAGGGCGCUGGGCGAAACAAACGGCCUGGUCUGGAAGCAGAAGCCCAUGAUCGUGUGCUUCGGCAAACAGCAGUGAUUAGGUUAGGAUCAUCAGUAUUUCCUAGACUGUAUAGUAGCAGCUCUUGUUCCCUUCAAAAUCCGACAACUGGGACUGAUCGACGUCAUUUAUGCGGAAGGAGCCCGACCAGACCCGGCCAACGACCCCGAAGAGUCCUUGAACGAGGACGAAAUCACAGCUGCCGCCAGUACAGUACCCCUGAAGACGAAGAA